rnacentral:lncRNA from 1 species
GGCGGCUCCUCCGGGCGAGUACUUCAGCGUUGGGAGCCAGGUGUCGUGCCGGACGUGCCAGGAGCAGCGGCUGCAGGGCGAGGUGGUAGCCUUUGACUACCAAUCCAAAAUGCUGGCUUUAAAAUGUCCCUCUUCCAGUGGAAAGCCCAACCAUGCAGACAUCUUGCUCAUAAACUUACAGUAUGUUUCAGAAGUGGAAAUAAUUAAUGACCGAACAGAAACCCCUCCUCCCCUAGCUUCACUCAAUGUUAGUAAGCAUUAAAGACUGUAAAUGGCAAGAAAAAAACAUCGUAGUCAUGGAAGAAGUUGUUAUUACACCCCCAUAUCAAGUGGAAAACUGUAAAGGCAAAGAGGGGAGUGCACUGAGCCAUGUACGCAAAAUAGUUGAAAAACAUUUUAGAGACGUGGAAAGCCAAAAGAUACUGCAACGUUCACAAGCCCAGCAACCACAGAAGGAGGCUGCCCUGUCAUCCUGAGUCCGUACACAUGGAGGACUCUUCCAGCAUCCAGCCAAGGAGGCGCUGGUGGUGGCUUCAGCGGAGGCAGGCCGGGGGAGGGAAGGGAUCCUAUAUGUCCUGUUGGCUCUUAACAAAGGGUCAGCAUUUCCAAAUCUUAGACUUGAACAAACAAAACACCCAACAAAAAAGAACAAGAGAAUAAUUUAAAAGUUGAAUCAUUACUUGACUAACAGACUUCGGUCCACCAUGUCCUUUUCACAGCCCUCUUCUGGAACAGUCACCUUGUUAAUUUUAUUUUUGAAAAUUAUUUUCCCACUCUGCCCUUUACUUCUGACUUUCCUUUCCUAGUUUGUUCCUGCCAUUCUGUUUUUAUAAGUGGCUACACUUGCCUUCUGAAUGAUUGAAAGAAACUUUUACAUCUUUUCUUCCAAAAUAAAAGUAACAAGCUGACUGUGAUUCUUAA